GCGUGUUCCAUCCUUCUCCAUCUCCACAACUCUUCAUCUCUACCCGUCGCCGACUAUAGUUUUUUCCUCGCCAGUAACCCCACAUGACCCCAAUCUUCUUCCUCACUCAGUCCUCUUUCCGCCAGCAACCCCACGCAAAGGGCCACAAGUUUUUUCCUUUUAUCGCAACCCUUCCUUCUACCAUCGAAUUUCUUCACCGGCAACCCUCAUUAUCGACAGCCCCUUCAUCCAAUCUUCUUCUCACGAUUUUCUUCACCAAUUUCCUACCCAUUUUCGGUAGCACACAGACCCCCUACCCGAUUUCCUUCUACCCAUCUCGAUUUUCUUCACCGACGACCCUCGCUCGAACUUCUUCUCACUUAGAAUGCCCAUAAAUUUAAGAAAAUCGGCCUCACUCCCAUUAUCCAUCGAUUUCCUUCACCAUUGUAUAAUGGCUGAGCACAUCUGAAUGUUGCUUCAGAUUUUACGAUGUUCUGUUAUUAGUGUGAAUGCCUUGUGCUGUGCAUUUUAACACGAUCUCCACCGGCCAUCGUGCUCCAUCUCUACACCAUUCUCUCCAUUUUCGGACAACCGCUCACACAAACUUCGAAGGCAACUCACGACACUUCGACGGAAACCCACAACACUUUGACUCUGACCCACGACGAUUCACAACACUUCAACUCCAACGGCGAUCCACAGCAAAAUAGGUUUUCAAGGUUGAAGAAGAAAUUGACAUUCAGUUAAAGCUUAAGGAACUUGGUUGAUCUUACCGGCUUCUUGGGCCAAUCAACUCGAUGCAGAGUUUUUUCUUCUCCCGU